rnacentral:rRNA from 1 species
CUGAUGGAGCAACACCGCGUGAGUGAAGAAGGGUUUCGGCUCGUAAAGCUCUGUUGUUGGAGAAGAACGUGCGUGAGAGUAACUGUUCACGCAGUGACGGUAUCCAACCAGAAAGUCACGGCUAACUACGUGCCAGCAGCCGCGGUAAUACGUAGGUGGCAAGCGUUAUCCGGAUUUAUUGGGCGUAAAGCGAGCGCAGGCGGUUGCUUAGGUCUGAUGUGAAAGCCUUCGGCUUAACCGAAGAAGUGCAUCGGAAACCGGGCGACUUGAGUGCAGAAGAGGACAGUGGAACUCCAUGUGUAGCGGUGGAAUGCGUAGAUAUAUGGAAGAACACCAGUGGCGAAGGCGGCUGUCUGGUCUGCAACUGACGCUGAGGCUCGAAAGCAUGGGUAGCGAACAGGAUUAGAUACCCUGGUAGUCCAUGCCGUAAACGAUGAGUGCUAGGUGUUGGAGGGUUUCCGCCCUUCAGUGCCGGAGCUAACGCAUUAAGCACUCCGCCUGGGGAUACGACCGCAAGGUUGAAACU